AACCGUCAAAAACGUAUAUUUGACGGCAGGGCCCUAGUAAACAAGGCCAGCAGGAUUUCUAGCGAAUUUCAACAAUGCUAUUACGUGUUUACAUGGGUCCCGCAAACUCGACGACAGCGGGACCCAUCGCAAAUUUCAACAUUUCGAUUUUGCAAUUCCGACCAAAAAAGGUUUUUUUUUCAGACCGUGCUAUCCGUUUAAAUUGUGCGUCAAUGACAGGUCGCCAGACGCACCGUCAAGAAUACCGUGCUAUCCGUUUAAAUUGUGCGUCAAUGACAGGUCGCCAGACGCACCGUCAAGAACGCCGUGCUAGUUAUUUAAACUGUGCACCUGCGAUAGGUGGCCAAACACACCGUCAAAAACCUAUAUUUGACGAGUGGAUCUCGGCCGUGCUAUCCGUUUGAUUUGUGCGUCGACGCACGUUGCCAAAGAAACCGUCAAAAACGUAUAUUUAACGGCAGGGCCCUAGUAAACAAGGCCAGCAGGAUUUCUAGCGAAUUUCAACAAUGCUAUUACGUGUUUACAUGGGUCCCGCAAACUCGACGACAGCGGGACCCAUCGCAAAUUUCAACAUUUCGAUUUUGCAAUUCCGACCAAAAAAGGAUCUUUUUUUUCAGACCGUGCUAUCCGUUUAAAUUGUGCGUCAACGACAGGUCGCCAGACGCACCGUCAAGAACGCAGUGCUAUCCGUUUGAAUCCUACGUCGAUGACAGGUGUCCAAAGGCACCGUCAUAAACGUACAUUUGACGGGAGGGCCCUAGGAAACAAGGCCAGCGGGACCCAGUCACGCACAGUUAAAUCCGAGCACGCCGAAAAAGUGAGCGUAAACUGUGCUUUUGAACCGACUCGGUAACAAAAGCUGUGCUCAUCUCUUUCUGGGCAAAAACAGACGUGUCUACAUGGGUCCCGCAAACUUCACAACAGCAGGACCCAUCGCGAGUUUCAACAAUCCGAUUACGCCAUUUUAACCGGAAAAAAUUUUGCUUUCAGGCCGUGCUAGUUA